UACAGAGGGUGCAAGCGUUAAUCGGAAUUACUGGGCGUAAAGGGCGCGUAGGCGGGUUAUUAAGUUGGAUGUGAAAUCCCUGGGCUUAACCUAGGAACUGCAACCAAUACUGAUAGUCUAGAGUGCUGUAGAGGGUAGUGGAAUUUCCGGUGUAGCGGUGAAAUGCGUAGAUAUCGGAAGGAACACCAGUGGCGAAGGCGGCUACCUGGACAGACACUGACGCUGAGGCGCGAAAGCGUGGGUAGCAAACAGG
rnacentral:rRNA from 1 species